AGGAAUGUAGCGCAGCUUGGUAGCACGUUUGUUUUGGAUACAAAAUGUCACUGGUUCAAAUCAUGUCAUCCCUA
rnacentral:tRNA from 1 species